rnacentral:rRNA from 1 species
GAUGAACGCUGGCGGCGUGCCUAACACAUGCAAGUCGAACGAGGUAAAUAAGAUGAAGUUUUCGGAUGGAUUUUAUUUACCGAGUGGCGGACGGGUGAGUAACGCGUGGGUAACCUGCCUCAUACAGGGGGAUAACGGUUAGAAAUGACUGCUAAUACCGCAUAAGCGCACAGUACCGCAUGGUACGGUGUGAAAAACUCCGGUGGUAUGAGAUGGACCCGCGUCUGAUUAGCUAGUUGGUGAGGUAACGGCCCACCAAGGCGACGAUCAGUAGCCGGACUGAGAGGUUGAACGGCCACAUUGGGACUGAGACACGGCCCAG